GAUGAACGCUGGCGGCGUGCCUAAUACAUGCAAGUCGAACGGGGAGUUUUGCUUCGGUAGAACUCCUAGUGGCGAACGGGUGAGUAACGCGUUGGUGACCUGCCCCGAAGUGAGGGAUAACAGUUCGAAAGGACUGCUAAUACCGCAUGUGGUUGGAGAGAUUAGAGGCUUUCCAACUGAAGGUGCAAACCGCUUCGGGAGGGGCCUGCGACCCAUCAGCUAGUUGGUAGGGUAAAGGCCUACCAAGGCGACGACGGGUAGGGGACCUGAGAGGGUGACCCCCCACACUGGCACUGAAACACGGGCCAGACACCUACGGGUGGCAGCAGUAGGGAAUAUUGCACAAUGGGCGCAAGCCUGAUGCAGCAACGCCGCGUGCGCGAUGAAGGCCUUCGGGUCGUAAAGCGCUUUUCUGGAGGACGAGCAAGGACGGUACUCCAGGAAGAAGGAUCGGCUAACUACGUGCCAGCCGCCGCCGUAAGAC
rnacentral:rRNA from 1 species